GCUGUGGUAGCUCAGUGGUAGAGCACACCCUUGGUAAGGGUGAGGUCGAGAGUUCAAUCCUCUCUCACAGCA
rfam:Paracoccus sp. 361 scaffold_0, whole genome shotgun sequence.